AUGAAUUAGGACUUCUAUUAAGGCCUCGGGUCUCGCACUGUCGCCCAGGCUGGAGUCUGCAGUGCAGCGGCAGGAUCUCGGCUCACUGCAACCUCCGCCUCCGCCUCCCGGGUUCAAGCCAUUCUCCUGCCUCAGCCACCCGAAUAGCUGGGAUUACAGGAGCCCGCCACCACGCCCAGCUAAUUUUUGUAUUUUUAGUAGAGACGGGGUUUCACCGUGUUGGCCAGGCUGGUCUUGAACUCCCGACCUCGUGAUUCGCCUGCCUCGGCCUCCCGAAGUGCUGGGAUUACAGGCAUGAGCCACCGCGCCCGGACUGCACACCUCUUGACUCUUUGGAAAUUGCCUCAAAGGAAACUUCAGAGUAAAGAUUGAGAUGAGAACUUUACAGGUAACCUGCACCCUGGGCAACCACCCUCCUCCCAGCACUCAGAGCUACAGCAGCCAUGGCUACCCCAAGAUCUGUCAGUAUUGGAGCCCCAACCCUGCCCCCCAGGACACCAAAGCCUACAAAGUACCUCAGUACUUCACUGCUUAACAAGUAGAACAUCAACUGUGAUACUAAGCAGCAUUGAUUAAUGAUAAAGAUGACCCUUGGUUGGUAAAUUGCAUCUGGACUAACCAACUCCAUUUUGCUUCUAACCACCAAGCUGUCCUUGUUCAUUCCUGGGCAUAGGCUGAAUUAACUUUGAGAGGAACCUGUUUAUAGUUUAUAGUUUAAAACAAAGAUGAUAACAGGCUUUUCCCAGGGAAAAUCUCCUUCUUGCCUGGGGACUAGACCGCCUUCGCAGGACUAAGAAAUUAGCCACAAGAUUAGAAAUUUCGGUUUAGGAGUCAUGCAGCUGGAGGCUACAAGAUUCUGACACUACCUAAGCUGCUCCUAAGAGCAGUGCUUGAGAUGUUUUGCAGACCCAGCACUUGAAGGAUCAGGUGACACCACCUGGACCAAUAAACUGGCUCAUCUGAUCUUGUGCCUCCCACCCAGGAACUGACUCAGCACAAGAAGACAGCUCGACUCCCUAUGAUUUCACCUCUGACCUGACCAAUCAGCACUCCCGGCUCACUGGCUUGCCCCCCAACCACCAAGUUGUCCUUACAAACUCUGAUCCCCAAAUGCCUGGGGAGACUGAUUUGAGUAAUAAUAAAAGUCCAGUCUCCCGCACC
rnacentral:lncRNA from 1 species